AUUGAACGCUGGCGGCAUGCCUUACACAUGCAAGUCGAACGGUAACAGGUUAAGCUGACGAGUGGCGAACGGGUGAGUAAUACAUCGGAACGUGCCCAGUAGUGGGGGAUAGCCCGGCGAAAGCCGGAUUAAUACCGCAUACGAGCUACGGGUGAAAGGGGGGGAUCGGAAGCACUCUCGCUAUUGGAGCGACCGAUGUCAGAUUAGGUAGUUGGGGGGGUAAAAGCCUACCAAGCCGACGAUCUGUAGCUGGUCUGCGAGGACGACCAGCCACACUGGGACUGAGACACGGCCCAGACUCCUACGGGGGGCAGCAGUGGGGAAUUUUGGACAAUGGGCGCAAGCCUGAUCCAGCCAUGUCGCGUGCGGGAAGAAGGCCUUCGGGUUGUAAACCGCUUUUGUCAGGGAAGAAACGCUCUGGGUUAAUACCCUGGGGUAAUGACGGUACCUGAAGAAUGAGCACCGGCUAACUACGUGCCAGCAGCCGCCGUAA
rnacentral:rRNA from 1 species